UGUACCUGAGGGACCUGAGCUUAUAAGGGCUGUGGGAGGAGCAGGAGGGAGGUGGAAGUUGGUUUUGAAGUUUUACUUCUGCCUGGGCAUGGUAUGACUGGUGUCUGAGAAUUAUAUAUCAUUGUUAUAGCUAAAUUCCUUUUUCCCUGGGGAAGCUGCAGAAGAGGCUCUACCUAAUGAUCAUAACCUGUGAUCCCAGUUUGUGCAGCGUCGAUGACUAAAGAAGCUUGUUGAUCUCAGUCUUCCCCUUUAUUUGGACAAAGCAGAUAAAUAAGAGCUGGAUCUUAAAGCAAUACCUCCAGGAACAGAGGGUUUGAUGACCUUUCCUUUGACUGCUGGACUGUUGGACUCUGAUGGCCAGUAAAAAAAAUGCACAAGCCACUCAGUCACAUAAUGGAGAUGCUUAAAUUCAGACCGACCACGUCAU